rnacentral:siRNA from 1 species
GGUGUUUUACAACAGAUUUUUGUU